AGUGAACGCUGGCGGCAGGCCUAACACAUGCAAGUCGAACGGCAGCACAAAGGAGCUUGCUCCUUGGGUGGCGAGUGGCGGACGGGUGAGGAAUACAUCGGAAUCUGCCUUAUCGUGGGGGAUAACGUAGGGAAACUUACGCUAAUACCGCAUACGACCUACGGGUGAAAGCGGAGGACCGCAAGGCUUCCCGCGAUAAGAUGAGCCGAUGUCGGAUUACCUAGUUGGCGGGGUAAUGGCCCACCAAGGCAACAAUCCGUAGCUGGUCUGAGAGGAUGAUCAGCCACACUGGAACUGAGACACGGUCCAAACUCCUACGGGAGGCAGCAGUGGGGAAUAUUGGACAAUGGGCGCAAGCCUGAUCCAGCCAUGCCGCGUGUGUGAAGAAGGCCUUCGGGUUGUAAAGCACUUUUGUCCGGAAAGAAAAGCUUCGGGUUAAUACCCCGGGGUCCUGACGGUACCGGAAGAAUAAGCACCGGCUAACUUCGUG
rnacentral:rRNA from 1 species